UCGAGGAUCUUCGUCAAUGGGCGCAAGCCUGAACGAGCGACGCCGCGUGCGCGAUGAAGGCCUUCGGGUUGUAAAGCGCGAAAGUGGAGAGAAAAGCGAAAGCUUGAUCAAUCCACAGUAAGGACGGGCUAAGUUCGUGCCAGCAGCCGCGGUAAGACGAACUGUCCAAACGUUGUUCGGAAUCACUGGGCUUAAAGGGCGCGUAGGCGGUCGGACAAGUCGGGGGUGAAAUCCUGCAGCUCAACUGUAGAAGUGCCUUCGAUACUGUUCGUCUGGAGGGAGAUAGGGGUGUGCGGAACUUCCAGUGGAGCGGUGAAAUGCGUUGAUAUUGGAAGGAACGCCGGAGGCGAAAGCGGCGCACUGGAUCUCUUCUGACGCUGAGGCGCGAAAGCUAGGGGAGCAAACGGGAUUAGAUACCCCAGUAGUCCCUGAGCGGGCUGGCAAGGCGCAU
rnacentral:rRNA from 1 species